UGACUAUCCAUUUAUCAAGCUAUGUUAAAUAGGGAGACAUUGAUGCCUUAAAAGGUGGAUUCUAAAAAUUUACUCAUCUUUUUUGAUCUAGUGGCGACCAAAAGAUACUAAUCAAUAAGAUUAUCAGAAAUACCUUGAAAAAUAAAUUUGUGACGUUUGAGAAAAAUAUGAGUUACCUUUAAUAUCAAAAUAUUCAAUAUACAGACAAAUAAAUUCAAACAUGUUAAGUAAAAAUAAUAAUAAUCAUAUCGAUGGCAUAAUUGGAUUAAUAGAUAUGUAUCAAAACGUGUAUAUCUAGCUGAAUUUGAAGAAGAUUGAAAAAUUAUUUUCCUGUAAUUAAUUCAAUUCCAAAUAAAUUGAAGCCCUUUUUAAGAGAUUGGCAUCAGUUUUUAAAAUGACUACCCAUUUAUCAUGCUAUGGGAAAUAGGGAGACAUUGAUGCCCUAAAAAGUGGAUUCUAAAAUUUUCCUCAUAUUUUUUGAUCUAGUGGUGACCAAAAGAUACUAAUCAAUACGAUUACCACAAAUAACUUGAAGAAAUAGAAAUUGCGAAAGUUUGAG